rnacentral:rRNA from 1 species
GACAGAGGGUGCAAACGUUGUUCGGAAUUACUGGGCGUAAAGCGCGUGUAGGCGGCUCGGCAAGUCGGGUGUGAAAUCUCCGGGCUUAACUCGGAAAGGUCAGCCGAUACUGCGGGGCUAGAGUGCAGAAGGGGCAACUGGAAUUCUCGGUGUAGCGGUGAAAUGCGUAGAUAUCGAGAGGAACACCUGCGGCGAAGGCGGGUUGCUGGGCUGACACUGACGCUGAUGCGCGAAAGCUAGGGGAGCGAACGGG